AUUAACAAAUAAGCCAUUAACAGGUAGAUGAAGUGUAUAUAUA
rnacentral:guide_RNA from 1 species